rnacentral:lncRNA from 1 species
UAGGUCGCCAACGUUUCCUCUAUUUAUAGGGUCUCUAUGGAAACAGGGCCAGCUUUAGAGAACGAGUCACUGGGGAAACCCACAGAGACUGUCAGGAUCUUGAGGGGAUUGUGAAGUCCCCACUGCCCCUGCCCCCAACAGCCAGGGCAGGCUGCAGUGGGGUGCAGGGCAGGGUCUGUCCCCCGAGGCUUCAUGCUGCUGACCACAGAACGGGAGAAGCAGCAGCUGCUGGUUCCCAGCCUGCUUGGGGUUUCUAUUGGAAACACAGCGAUGGGAGGUUUCUGGAUUCGUUCUUCUUCCCCAGGAUCAGUUCACAUCCAAAACAACAAAACAAAAGCAGGCCUUACUUAAACCAAGGGCAGUUGAGUCUCAGCCCGACCCCAGUUUGAACUCUUGUCCCUUUUGUGCUUAGAACAGUCUGGCUGGAGCUAACGAAGGUCAGCCUGGAAAGGUCACUUCACCCACUGGGGUCUCUGCACAGAACUAACUGAUGUAUCCACAGCACAGGGAAUUUUUUAUUAAAGUUGCCAUUGCAAUGUG